rnacentral:rRNA from 1 species
UACGUAGGGUGCAAGCGUUGUCCGGAAUCAUUGGGCGUAAAGCGCGCGUAGGUGGUCAUGUAAGUCCGCUGUGAAAGUCAAAGGCUCAACCUUUGAAAGCCGGUGGAUACUGCAUGACUAGAGUACGGAAGAGGCGAGUGGAAUUCCUGGUGUAGCGGUGGAAUGCGCAGAUAUCAGGAGGAACACCAAUUGCGAAGGCAGCUCGCUGGGACGUAACUGACGCUGAGACGCGAAAGCGUGGGGAGCAAACAGG